rnacentral:rRNA from 1 species
AUUGAACGCUGGCGGCAGGCCUAACACAUGCAAGUCGAGCGGAGCGGCGGACGGGUGAGUAAUGCCUGGGAAUCUGCCUGGUAGUGGGGGAUAACGUCCGGAAACGGGCGAUAAUACCGCAUACUAUCAGAUGAGCCUAGGUCGGAUUAGCUAGUUGGUGGGGUAAAGGCCUACCAAGGCGACGAUCCGAAACUGGGCUGAGAGUAUGAUUAGUCACACUGGAACUGAGACACGGUCCAGAGUCCUACGGGAGGCAGCAGUGGGGAAUCUUGGACAAUGGGCGAAAGUCUGAUCCAGCCAUGCCGCGUGUGUGAAGAAGGUCUUCGGAUUGUAAAGCACGUUAAGUUGGGAAGCGUUACCAACAGAAUAAGCACCGGCUAACUUCGUGCCAGCCGCCGCGGUAAUAC